rnacentral:rRNA from 1 species
GACGAACGCUGGCGGCGUGCCUAAUACAUGCAAGUUGAGCGCUGAAGGUUGGUCCUUGUACCAACUGGAUGAGCAGCGAACGGGUGAGUAACGCGUGGGGAAUCUGCCUUUGAGCGGGGGACAACAUUUGGAAACGAAUGCUAAUACCGCAUAAAAACUUUAAACACAAGUUUUAAGUUUGAAAGAUGCAAUUGCAUCACUCAAAGAUGAUCCCGCGUUGUAUUAGCUAGUUGGUGAGGUAAAGGCUCACAAAGGCGAUGAUACAUAGCCGACCUGAGAGGGUGAUCGGCAACAUUGGGACUGAGACACGGCCCAAACUCCUACGGGAGGCAGCAGUAGGGAAUCUUCGGCAAUGGACGAAAGUCUGACCGAGCAACGCCGCGUGAGUGAAGAAGGUUGUCGGAUCGUAAAACUCUGUUGGUAGAGAAGAACGUUGGUGAGAGUGGAAAGCUCAUCAAGUGACGGUAACUACCCAGAAAGGGACGGCUAACUACGUG